CAUGUUUAUUCACAAGAAGUCUCUAAAUAAAGCUCUCAAUAUUUACCCUGUGCAAAUCGGAUGGAUCUAAGAGCAAUUUGCAGAGUACUAAACUGCCAAACAGGCUAUAGUUCUGCGGAGGCAGUACAUUCAAACUUCUCGGGAGCCCCUACCUCCUCACGGGAAGCCUGUUGGCUGCAAAUAGGUCUUCAAAGUGAAAAAACAUGUCGACGGUGUGUACAUGACACAGCCUACCUGUUUUGAAUCCAAGUGUUAAAUCAUAAAGAUUGUUACUCCCUUAUGGAAUGUGGGCUGGGCUGCUUGCUUAGGUGAUUGGAAGAGUGAGAAGGUUAGCAUGACGAUACUGUGGCAUGUUAUCA
rnacentral:lncRNA from 1 species